CAAGUAUAUGAAGCGCCUGGACCAUAAUCAAGACUCGAGGUCAAAACUUGGAGAUCUUGAUUACGGUUGACGAGGAAGAGGGUUAUCGAAGAUUUCGGCGGGUCCCUCUCGGUGUCUUGACAUCGUAAGGCUUAUGACAAAACCGCGAAGCAAUUUGCGAAACAAAACGUAAGUCUCAAGACAA
rnacentral:ncRNA from 2 species